CUGGUGAUCGAUUAGUGAUGCCUGCAGAGGCCAGCAGCAGUAGGAGCGGCGCCGCCGUGGAAGAAACGUCCUUAUUUGUCUUCUUCGGGGUCGAAGACACACCUGAGUACCCAGUGAUGUCCAUGGCCUUCAGGUUCCUGCACUUGAUGACCGUCAGUGUGAGUCUGCCAGCAGUGGGGAGGUAGCAGAGUGAGAACAUGAUCUCACCGAGGUCCACGCUCUCCUGGGGACGCACAACAAGACACAGGGUUGAACUGUGGCAAAGAAGAGGACUGGGACCAGCGACCAGGGAGUCCAUCCAUGUGUUUUGGACCGAAGACAUUGGAAGGUUGACACCAGGAUGUCCGGCCCAACAAAAAGGUCAUGAAAUACUUUUGAGGUCCCAAUGUC